UUAGGUGGAUAAUCAAGCAUUCGACGUCUAUAUCCAGGGUCUGCAUGAAGAUUAGCCAAUAUUUCAUCCAACUCAGUGGGCUCACUUUGUUGUGAACUACUCGGAAUAUUCGAAGGAGGACUUCUUGGAAUAUUUGAAGGAGGAGAAGGAUGACUACUUGAAAUAUUUGAAGGAGAAGGACUACCCAAAAUGUUUGAAGGAGGAUUUAAGCAUUGUUUCUUAUAGUAUCGUUCCAUUACGUAACUGUAAAAUGGAAAGAAAAAUUUUUCUUAGACUCUUAAUCCUAGAGUAGACUAUACUAAUAUGCAUAAUAACCCAACCAACAAUUCAAUUAAUCAAUACCAAUAAGCAUAUAAAUUAUUCAUUAAAUAAAAAAUUCAUUCAACUAAUCAUAUGAAUACAACUAAUCAAAAAUUCAAAUUU
rnacentral:lncRNA from 1 species